UCUUUUGAAUGAGCAAAGAAAUUGGUUUCUUGAGAAGGAAUCUACUCCUAGUGAAGAUGUCGUGAA
rnacentral:pre_miRNA from 1 species